rnacentral:lncRNA from 1 species
CUCCUCGGGGGGAGGGGGGAGAUUGACUGGGGCUGGUUGCCAUGGUGACACAGAAUGCUGACAUCCUCGCCUCGUGCUGCUCCUCCGAGGGAAGGUUUUCUUCGUUCUUCCUUCUUGGUGGAGGAGGGGAAAGGUAGGUAUGGUCCGCCGGGAAGGUAGCCUGGGAUCCCAAACAGCUUUUCCUUUCAGUGCUUCUGAUAGCACCUGGUAGACAGCGAGGUAGCUGAUGUUUGCUGUUAUUAUUUCAUGACUACCCAUGCCACGAUCACCGUUACUUCACCAUCGUCACCGUCACCAUCCCCAGGAGAUUCCGGCCGCUUCAUGGAGGAAAGAGCUUUUGGCAAAACAAAGGAGAAUGAAGUCCCCAUCCUGACGCCAUCACUUCAGCAAAACUCCAGACAUAUAAUUAAUGGUAAAUAAAUGUGAGCUACUGGU